rnacentral:rRNA from 1 species
AUUGAACGCUGGCGGCAGGCCUAACACAUGCAAGUCGAGCGGAUGAAGGGAGCUUGCUCCUGGAUUCAGCGGCGGACGGGUGAGUAAUGCCUAGGAAUCUGCCUGGUCGUGGGGGCUAACGUCCGGAAACGGGCGCUAAUACCGCAUCCGUCCUGAGGGAGAAAGUGGGGGAUCUUCGGACCUCACGCUAUCAGAUGAGCCUAGGUCGGAUUAGCUAGUUGGUGGGGUAAAGGCCUACCAAGGCGACGAUCCGUAACUGGUCUGAGAGGAUGAUCAGUCACACUGGAACUGAGACACGGUCCAGACUCCUACGGGAGGCAGCAGUGGGGAAUAUUGGACAAUGGGCGAAAGCCUGAUCCAGCCAUGCCGCGUGUGUGAAGAAGGUCUUCGGAUUGUAAAGCACUUUAAGUUGGGAGGAAGGGCAGUAAGUUAAUACCUUGCUGUUUUGACGUUACCAACAGAAAAAGCACCGGCUAACUUCGUG